rnacentral:misc_RNA from 1 species
AAGUCGUAACAAGGUUUCCGUAGGUGAACCUGCGGAAGGAUCAUUAACACGUAUCCAACGUUAAACCUGAGCCGGAGAACGGACCGAGUGGUAGUUCAAAGGUGCCUUCUGUCGCGCACUGUGGAAAGGAAGACGCUUUACGAAUCACUGUCCAACACGGUCAGUGACCGGGUUCCUGGUCCUAGACCCCAUAUUCACCACCACAGUCGCAGACGAGGUAGGGAUACGUCCCUGCCACCAAAUAAAUACUUGAACAACUGUUAACAAUGGAUAUCUUGGUUCUC